rnacentral:rRNA from 1 species
UACGUAGGGGCAAGCGUUGUCCGGAUUUAUUGGGCGUAAAGAGCGUGUAGGCGGCCUGGAAGGUCAGCUGUGAAAACCUCGAGGCUCAACCUCGAGACGUCGGUUGAAACCACCUGGCUAGAGUCCGGAAGAGGAGUGUGGAAUUCCCGGUGUAGCGGUGAAAUGCGCAGAUAGUCGGGAAGAACGACCCGUGGCGAAGGCG